ensembl:lncRNA
GUCUAUGAGUUCCUAGAGGACAGAGAUGAGGUCCAAGUCAGAUUUCUGCCAUCCACCACACCCAUCACACAGUAGAACCCAGAAAUGAUUACUAAAUUAGCAAACAUGCUUCUCUUUUCUGAACCUCUUGAGAGCAAGUUGGAAAUAUUAUUAGAAUGUUGAAAAGUUAGAAACUCAUAAAUAAUUCAAUGUUUACUUUCUAAAAGCAAGUAACUUCUCCAACAUAACUGUAUUUCUUAAUUGUAGUUUGACAGAGAGAUUUCCUUACAUUCUUGGAGGAAAAGAAAGAAGAAGGAAAAAGGAGCAGAAAAGGGGCAAAAAAAAUCUCCAUGUCUUUGCAGUGAUCUGUGUUGUUUCACUCCCAUGCUUAGACAAGUUGUUGGUAACCCUGACUUAACCUCCACUUCCUGCUUUCCUUGAGCCUAAUGGCCAGAAGUGAAAAAGUAUGGUUUUCUCAGUUCUUCUCUAAGCAUGUGUCCUUCCCUUUGCAAGUAUAUGGCUUUCUGGAUUCCAGUAUAUACGGGAAAGUUUCAAAGUCCUUAUUCCCUCCCCUCUUCGAAUAUCACUCCCUGCAUUUUCCUCCCUAGAAUUUUGGUGUACCUGUCAUUUGCUCCAACUAUUAUUUUUUUGAUCAGGUCCUCCACAUUGGAUCAAAUCUUAUUGGGACAUUUCAAGAUAAUGGUGCUACCAUUUCAACCAGUUAUUGUCAUGAUUGUGGGCUCUUGGAUACCUCUAAGUGGUGAGAGGUGUUAUGGAACAGCCAGAAAACAAUAGCUUCUUCAUUGUCUGCAUCGGGUCUUAGUUGCAGCACUCGGGACCUUGGCUGCAUGAUUUUGGAUCUUCCCUUGUGG